rnacentral:rRNA from 1 species
GACGAACGCUGGCGGCGUGCUUAACACAUGCAAGUCGAACGGAAAGGCCCUGCUUUUGUGGGGUGCUCGAGUGGCGAACGGGUGAGUAACACGUGAGUAACCUGCCCUAGACUUUCGGAUAACUUCAGGAAACUAGGGCUAAUACCGUAUAGGAGCUCCUGCUGCAUGGUGGGGGUUGGAAAGUUUCGGCGGUUGGGGAUGGACUCGCGGCUUAUCAGCUUGCUGGUGGGGUAGUGGCUUACCAAGGCUUUGACGGGUAGCCGGCCUGAGAGGGUGACCGGCGACAAUGGGACUGCGGUACGGCCCAGACUCCUACGUGGGGCAGCAGUGGGGAACAUUGCACAGUGGGAGGAAGCGUGAUGAAGCGGCGCCGCGUGCGGAAUGACGGCCUUCGGGUAGUAAACCGCUUUCGCCUGUGACGAAGCGGUAGUGACGGUAAUGGGUAAAGAAGCACCGGCUAACUACGUG